rnacentral:lncRNA from 1 species
AAUUCCAAUCUCAGUGGGUAUGGGACCUGAAAGUGAAUUAUCACCAAGAUAAAGUUCUCUUAGACCAGUCAAAUUUCCAAUCCCAGCGGGUAUGGCACCAUGAAACAUAGAAAAACCGAGAUCAAGAUAAGAGAGGUUGUGGAGUUUCCAUAGCCAGUUGGGGAAGGUGGAGUUGAAGAGGUUGCCAUUGAGAUCGAGAGUGGUCAACGUCGUGAGGUUGACAAGGGAAAGAGAAGGGGGAGGUCGGUGAGGCCACAGUCUUGUAAAUAUAGCUCCUCCAGUGAGGACAAACAUAAGUUGCAGAUUCCCAAUCUCGGCAGGGAUUCGACCCGAAAGUGAAUUGUCGCUGAGGCGUAAUUCCGUAGGACUAGUCAAGCGCCCAAUCUCGGCAGGGAUGGAACCAACAAGGAAGCACUGGACGAGAUUUAGCUGCGACAGACUUGUCGUGUUCCCGAUUUGAGGUAGAAGGGGACUCGUAAAUGAAUUGUGGCUGAGAUCAAGUAUGGUUAGACUAGCCAAACUCCAGAGAUCGACAGGUAUGGAACCGGAAAGCGAGUUGCCGCUAAGGUCGAGCUGCGUGAGACGAGUCAAGUUCCCAAACCAGGCAGGUACGGUCCCAUACGAUUCAGAAUUGCUGAUCGCGAGAUAGGAGAGGCUGUUAGAGUUAGUCAAGUUCCCAAACCCGGCAGGUACGGUCCCAUACGAUUCAGAAUUGCUGAUCGCGAGAUAGGAGAGGCUGUUAGAGUUAAUCCUAAGAAAUUUAUCACAAGAUAAUUUUUGCAACCCAACAAAGACAAUAAAGCGGAAAAGAUAAAAGCGACAAGAACACUAUAUUUACGUGACCGAACUACUAUAAAAAUGACUAUUAUAAAUGCCUUAGGAAGAUGUUCCUAGGCCAUAAAACACCCAAAAAUACUAAACUAGAAAAACUCAAACUAUAAGUCCAAACUAUUUAACUAAGUGUGGACUUAAACCCAAAACUAACACUUAGGUUUUUCUUGUGGUUCCUCUUGUGGUGCUACUUGUGGUGCAUUUGACUUCAAAGCCCAGACCCUUAUUUAUAGUUCCAAUAUGAGAUAACAAACUUGGUUUUCCCGAUGUGGGACUAUGGGACUUGCCAAACUGAAGAGGCUUCGUAAACAUAUCAGCUGGAUUGUCCUUCGUAUGAAUUUUCUGAAUAAGGACCUUUCCCUCAGCAAUGAUAUCCCAUUUGUAUCCAACAAAUUUCUUACCCGAAGGCGACUUCACAAGAUCCUAAGUUCUAUUCUGAUUGAGAGAUUCAAUUUCUUCAUUCAUCGCAAUUAACCACUUAGCGGAAUUAUCAUAAGAAACUGCAUCUGAGUAGGAAGUAGGUUCACCAACUUCACUUGUUUCUUCUGCAACAGACAAAGCAUAUGCAACCAAAUUUGCAUACCUUUAUGGUGGUCGAAUAUCUCUCCGUGGUCUAUCCUUGGCUAUGGAAUAUUGCUCUUCCUCUGGAUUAACUUCGUUAGUAGACUCGGGACCACCUACUGGCAUUCUUUGAGUAGAAGAGUUCGACUUAAAAGAAUCUGAACUAUCAAUCUCAAGCUCCACCUGCUUCUGCGCACUAUCAUUUGUACAACUAGUAGAAUCCUCUUUAAAAGAUAACAUAGAUAAUUUAUCAAAAGUAAUAUCUCUACUAAUUAUAAAUUUUGGAUAUUUGGGAUCAGAACACCAUCUGUAUCUUUUCAUCCCAGAAGCAUACCCAAGGAAAAUGUACUUUUUCGUUCGAGAUUUUAAUUUUCCUUCAUUUAUAUGCAUGUAUGCUGGACACCUAAAAUUUUUAAAUCAGAGUAAUCAGUAAGAAUACCUGACCAUUCCUCUGAAGUUUUAAAGUUAAAUGCUGCAUAAGAACGGGCAUAGUGUGUGCAAGGAAUCCGGCGGAGAACGGGCAUAGUGUGUGCAAGGAAUCCGGCGGGGAAGAGGACGAGAGUCCAAAUGAUCCUCCCAAUCGUGGAAUGCCAUAUAGACUCACCGAUCCUUGUCAAAUUUGACUCCGGACGCCAAGUGGUUCGAGGCCCCCACCGCCUGCUUUCCAAGAAGCUUCCACGGCUGCUGCGAACUGACUCGAAGUGACUUCUCCAUCCUUUCUUCAUUUCCUACUUUUUGAUGGACGGGACGUGUGAGACUGCUACGGAAAUGCCCCAACGUUGACUCGGUCAGUCUUCCUUUUCCAUAAGCACAUGACGUGAAAGCAUGACUGUUUACAUUAAGCGCAUAAUACCGUGGGAUUUUUAUGGCGUUAUCGUCAGCAUAGGUGUUGGCCAAGUCUCAGGUCAUCGGAUUCACGAUUGAAUCGGUGGAUCGAUAUUUAAUANNNNNNNNNNNNNNNNNNNNCCCCAACGUUGACUCGGUCAGUCUUCCUUUUCCAUAAGCACAUGACGUGAAAGCAUGACAGUUUACAUUAAGCGCAUAAUACCGUGGGAUUUUUAUGGCGUUAUCGUCAGCAUAGGUGUUGGCCAAGUCUCAGGUCAUCGGAUUCACGAUUGAAUCGGUGGAUCGAUAUUUAAUAUUAUUUUGAAAAUAAUAUAAUACAUUGUAAUAUAUUAAAAAUAUAAAAUAUAUAACAUAAUAUUAUAUUAUAAUAAUUCAAUUCAUUCUUCACAACAAUAUUAUUACCAGCAUGUUUCAACGAUUAUGUUUCCAUCAUCACAAUACACACAUAAUAUUUACAAAGAUGAAACCAAAAAGAAAGAGUUUGAAAAGCAAUCAUUACAUGAUCUCUAAGAUGAUGUCAGUUUUGAAGAUUCAAACUUAUCAUGGAUACAACAUACAAACACUCCCACUUUUGAUGUCGUCUUCACCCUCAAUCAGUUGUCGAUGAAGCAAUUCUUAUCUUGAUGGCAACAUAAGCUUUAUCAUAUAUUUUAUCAACCAUCUGAAAAUAGAAAACCCUCCAAUUUUUCUUGAACAGCAUGAGUAUAAACAUGCUCCAUAAUCCAACCAAAUAUCCGAGUAUGAUACUCAAAUAAUAUGAUGACAUAAAGGAUCCGUCUUUGUUGUUUUCUUUUGUCACAUUGUUACUUUUAAUACUGUAACAACUCUCGGUGAGGGGAGCUCCACAUAGAUAUGCAUUGCCAAUAUAAAUGGAUGCGUCAUUGAGUGUUUGUAAUUGAUUUCCCGAAGGAAUAACUCCUGAUAGAUUGUUGUAAGACAGAUUCAAGUGAUUCAAAGAAUACAAGUCUGACAAGCUUUGAGGAAUGCCUCCGGAUAACUUAUUAAAUGACAGGUCCAGAGUUUCCAAUGACUUCAUGGCACCAAUUGUCGCUGGUAUUUGGCCGACAAGAUUAUUUCUUGAUAGAUUUAAAGUUUGGAGUGUCGAAAGAGACCCAAUUUCUACUGGGAUUUCUCCUGUCAAAUUAUUAUUUGAAACGUCUAUAAUAUUGACAAGGUAAACAAUGAUCGAAAAGAUGAGACUAUUUCCCUUUAUAGUUAGAGUGAUGCUAUCAUCAUAAGUGCCAUCAAAAUUCGACAAAGCAGAGCGAGUUUUUACUAAUGCAUCAUAAGUUAUAUGUUGGCCUAGACUCGUCAAUUUUCGUUGCCUAUAAGUUUUUGUUGCAUUUAAAUUGCCAAAGGAGCGUGGAAUUGGCCCUGAUAAAUUAUUAUUAGCAAGGUCGAUAAUAUGUAGAUGAUGAAGUUGUCCAAGCUCCGAAGGAAUGUUACCAGAAAACAUAUUUGAGCAUAGCCGGAGUACCUCUAGGUUUUGAAAAUUUUGUGCAAUCCACGUAGGUAUGCUACCUGAGAAUUUAUUAUCGCCAAGAUCAAGAAAAACUAGUCCACUGCAAUUUUUCAAUGACGACGGAAGAUGCCCAUGUAGACUAUUAUUGUUUAAGUGCAAAGACCGUAGCUGAGUCAACUUUUCAAUAGAGCUAGGAAUUUCUCCCGAGAGCUUAUUAUCUGCUAGAUUAAUGUAGAUAAUAAAGUUUGUCUCUUGCCAACACCAAGGGAUUUCACUUGAUAUUUGGUUGCUCGAUAGAUCGAGGAUACGAAGUUGAGUCAAGUUGCAGACAAAUGAUGGUAUGCUCCCACUGAUAUGGUUAUGUGAGAGAUCCAACAGUUCCAAUUCUAGUGGGAGAGAAAUUGAUGACAACGAUCCCGAAAAGGAAUUAUUAUACAGAUACAAAUAACUCAAGUUAGGUGGCAAACGAGGAAUAGGGCCUUCAAGCAAAUUCAUACUUAGUUUCAGAGUGGACAGGUUUGUCAUGUGCUCCAAGAAAGUUGGCAAAGUACCAUUAAUCUGAUUUUGGGAGAGAUUUAUAGAAAAAGCGGGAAUGUUCCAAAACCAAUCAGGCAAGACGUCCUCGAUGCUUGUGUUCGACAUACCCAAAUCGUUAAUGGAGUUUUGUGAACGGAGCCAUCUUGGAAAUGCAGGCCCCAACUUACAAGACUUCAGUUGAAUGGAUUGGAGUUGAAAAGGAGGAAUCCAAUCAUAGCCUACUGAGAUGACUAGGGAGUUUUCGGAUACAUCAAGCUCACUUAGUUUGGUUAAGUUAGCGAAAUGGAGUUCAGACAUGGUGCCCUCUAGGGAAUUACUAGAGAGAGAAAGAAAAAUGAGGUUGGAAAGCUUGCCGAUCUCAGUAGGUAUCGUUCCAAAGAGUAAAUUACCACUAAGAUCUAUAUAUUCUAGACCAGUCAAAUUUCCAAUCCCAGCAGGUAUGGGUCCAAAGAGUGAAUUAUUACUGAGAUCGAUAUAUUUUAGACUAUUCCAAAUUCCAAUCUCAGUGGGUACGGGACCUGAAAGAGAAUUAUAACUAAGAAAAAGUUUUCUUAGACGAGUCAAAUUCUUAAUCCCAUCAGGUAUGGGUCCAAAGAGUGAAUUACCACUCAGAUCGAUAAGUUUUAAACUAUUCCAAAUUCCAAUCUCAGUGGGUAUGGGACCUGAAAGUGAAUUAACACCAAGAUAAAGUUCUCUUAGACCAGUCAAAUUUCCAAUCCCAGCGGGUAUGGCACCAUGAAACAUAGAAAAACUGAGAUCAAGAUAAGAGAGUCUGUGGAGUUUCCAUAGCCAGUUGGGGAUGGUGGAGUUGAAGAGGUUGCCAAAGAGAUCGAGAGUGGUCAACGUCGUGAGGUUGACAUGGGAAAGAGAAGAGGGGAGGUCGGUGAGGCCACAGUAUUGUAAAUGUAGCUCCUCCAGUGAGGACAACAUGUUCACCGCUUGAAGCCAAUUGUGGGAGGCCAUGGAAAGAUUCCCAAAGCUCAUGUCGAGGUAUCUCAAGGAAGUGAGACGCGAGAGCCAGUGCAGGCCAUCGGUCGAUAAGCCACCCGAAUUGAGAUCGAGAUAGCGGAGGCUGGACAGGUUGCCCAGCUGGGGCGGAAUGGCUCCGCUGAAGUUGGACCAGGAGAGGUCGAGAUACGUCAACUUGGUAAGGGAACCCAAAAAUUUCGGGAUUUGGAUCCCACCGAAGUCAUUGUAGCUGAGGUUGAGGCGCUCCAAAUGAGUUAGAAGGAGCAAGGAUGGUCUGAUCUCACCUCCGAUAGACGUCUCAUAGUUAUAAGGGUCGGAAUUCUGGAGGUUGAGCUCCACGACAUGGCCGGUUCUGUUGUCACAGACCACCCCGCUCCAUCUGCAGCAGUCUACUCGGCCUCGCCAUGAUGACAAACUGCUAGAAGGAUCCUUGACGAUGCCGGUUUUGAAGUCGAGGAGGGCGUCCCUCUCACCCUCUACGCACCCCUUCGUCGUCGGCGUUGUUGCCGCCGUGAACAAAAGAAUGCUCGUAAGCCAACGCCCGAAAGAGUAGUGCCGUGGCACAGGGUGUGUGCUACUGGUGCAAUAGUCCAUGAGGCUAUUUGGUGAGUGGAUAGUGUACUGAGAGAUGGAAGGCGGCGGAGGACAUGUAUAUAUAGAGUGGGUGUGGGGGCGUGAUGGCCCUCCCCUCCCGCAACCCAUCAUAGACUCCUGUGAAACGUUAAGAUUGAUGCACUGGUAGCGAUGUAUAGAUAAAAAACAUGACUUUUGUGGGAUUCGACUCCUGCCGGACCUGCAGUCUGUGCACCUUGCAGCUUACUCGAACUUGGUUUCUACCCUGCCUGGGUCCCAAAGUUGGGGCUCGGUUCGCAAGAACGAAAGAGAUUGAUACUGGAUUACAAACUUGAAAGAAACGGCCAUUUAAUCGGCCUUGUUGGAUUGCGUAGAACGUCUCAUUCGGCCCGAAUGCGAUAGUGUGGAAUCGAAUUCAUGCCUCCCUCAUUCCACACGGUUUGAUUCUGAUGUCCGCACAUCGGAACGCAUCAUCUUCUUAGCCAAGAUAAAAUGUAUGGAGGCGAUGAAUACCUUAUUCCAGGGGUCGAAAUGUCGCCAUGACAUGUCAAACGUCAUCACGGAAGACAACGUGGAUGAAGACUCCGACCCACCGCAAACGAUUCCUCACCCAAGAUAACACGGUAAGCCAUCGCUUUACAUGUAGCGUCCUUCCGAAAGAGGGAGACUCAACGAUGUUUGUAGCGGAACGCACGCUUCGCUUUCACAUGUGUGGAAAUCUUUGUUGGGAACCCAAAGUCACGCAACAAAUUGAUUCGUUUGACACACAAGUGGUGAAGAUGAUGAGGAUUUCCCACCAUUUUUGUGAUGAAUUUUGUGGGGAAUUGUCCCCACAGGAGCGAAAGAAAUGGCUGCAAAUUUUCUGUUCUUUUUAUCUCUUUCGUUUUCUACAAAAUUGCACUUGUUUUUAUUCCCUUCAAAAUUAAUGAUUUCGUACUUAUUUAAAAUUAACUUGAUUAUGCAAUUCUUAUUACCUAAUCACCAAUAAAGAUAUAGAUUUACAACCCAAAUGGAUGGGUCUUCCAUGAUCCCAAGUUGAUUCCCCUAUGCUUUUGUUCUGGAGAGAUCAUCCUGGCUAACACCCAAAUGGACGGAUGACAUGCACUGAGCUACCUUGGAGAUGUGGGUGACUCCGUGAGUUUUUUUGUACGUAAGCGUGCUUGUUUUUGUUAAUGAUUGCCGGAGAAGUUUAUAUAGUUAUUGAUAAAAGAAAAAAUAAUAUUAAAUCUAGUAUAAUAUUCAUGUGAAAUCUGGGGAUAUAAUGACUGAUCGAAUUACGCAUUCAUUAAUAUUUUUUUCAAAAACAAAUUAUAAUAUAAUUGUAUGUUAUAUUGAACAUAUAAAAUAUAUGAAAAAUAAAUAAUUGUAUGAUUUCAUUCAAUCGUUUGCUUGUUCCAGCAUUUAUCAUCUAUACGUGAGAGACCAAACCAUUCCUUGGAUCCAUCCUACUCGAAAUCAUCAUACGACCAUCUAAUCAACAAACCAUUACUGCAGCCAAUCAUAGAAAAACCAAGAUUGGUCGUAUAAUAUUUGUAAUAUUUCCAAGCAUAUAAUGAACAAACGAAAAAAAAAAAAAAAAAGCUUGAGAUUGUGCGUCACAUAACCUUCAAAACAUUCAGUAGAGAUACUUGUACAUAUUAACCUCAUCGCAACCUUUAAUUCAUUGUCAACCUAGCCGUGAUGUCAGCAUAAAAUUUAUAAUAUACUAUAUUAAAUAUAAAAAUAAUCUUUUAUGUCAAAAUUAAAAUCAAAUAAUUAGAUCUGAUUUUACGAUAUGUACCUUUUGAUGUCAUCUGAAAGGAUGUUUGAUCUACAAGGAUACCGUAUUUAAAUCCAAUAUCGUUAUCAGUCUGCAAAAUGAACUAUAUCCUCUCUUCCUAUCCUUUCAUAAAACCACUUAGAUUGAUGGUUAAGGAGAAGCGUUGAAAGAGAUGCGUUGAAAGAGAUACUUUAAUCCCUCAACUAUAAUUACUAUUCCUCUUGUUUAGUCCUUAUAAGUCAUGUCUAUUUAUAAACGAGAGCAGAUGGUUUAGAAUAAGUAAUUAAAAUAGUUUCUCCUGUAUCCUAAGGAAUCCUACUUUAAUAUAGUGGCUAAUAUAUUACAUCAAAAUCCAAUUAGUUAUAUUAUAUAUUUAUUAUCUAAUUAUAAAUGACCACAAAAACUAAUAUUUUGUCACUUGACCCAUUAAUUGAUAAGAUAUAAAAAAGAUAUUCAAAAUCAAAAUAAAUAAAAUAAAAUUUAUUUUAAAAUAAUUUUACCUAAUUGGAUUUCAAAGAAUUUUGAAAAUCAUUUUAUACAUGGUCAUGAAUUUUAAAAUAAACCAAUAAGUCCAAUAUACAUAAUAAUACUAUAUUAAGCUCAACUAUCAAUACGAAUCAUAACGGUUGUAUAUCAUCAAUGUCAUACUUUUUUCUAUAUACUACAACAUUAUUAGUCUUUCCUAAUAUAUUUCAUAAUGACCCAUAUAAUUUAUCUUGUCAAGACAAUUUUGUAAUAGCAUUUAUCUAAACAUGCAUAAUCAUAAUCAUAUAUUAAGCUCACAAGCCUCAUUCUAAGAACCUAUUCUUUAAAUAUUUUAUAUUAUAAAGCUUUUGUUAAUAGAUCAGCAAUCAUCAUAGUGGUGCUCAGGUUGUCAAUUGACACUUACUGUUUCUGGAUUCUUUCUCUAACCACCGAGUAAUUUAUCUCGAUAUGCUUGGAACCACUAGAGUACUUAUCAUUUUUAGAGAAGAAAAUUACUGUGAUAUUAUCACAAAAUAUCUUCAAUGGUCUGGUAAUUGAGUCAACCACACAAAGUCCUAAGAUGAAAUUUCAUAGUCAUAAAACUUGAUUUGUGGCCACAAAGCAUGCCACAAAUUCAACUUUCAUUGUUGAUGAUACAAUAAGCGAUUACUUUACACUUUUUCAAGAAAUUACCCAAUCAGCUAACAUGAAUACAAAUCCAGAAGUGGACUUUCAACUGUCGAGAUAAUUUGCAAAAUCAGCAUCUGAAUAUCCUAUCACUUCAAGCUGAUCUGAUAUCGUAUAUGUGAGCAUAUAAUCUUUCGUCCCCUAUAGAUAUCCAUUACUUUAAUUGCAGCUUUCCAAUGUUCUAUUCCUGGGUUACUUUGGUAUCUUCAUAGCAUUAUAAUUGUAAAACUAAUAUAUGAUCUUGUACAUGUUUGAGCAUAUAAUAGACUUUCAAUUGCACACCCAUAAUGAAUAUUUUUAUUUGAUUUUUUUGUAAGUCAUUUUUCGGGCAUUGGUUUUGAUUGAAUUUUUCACCUCUAGUAAUAGGUAUAUCAUUAGCUCAUAUUAAAUCUCUCCAAAAUAUGAUUAAUAUAUGGUUUCUGAGUCAAUCAUAAUAAUCCUUGAGAUCUAUCCUUAAAUAUCUCAAUGUCAAUAAUAUAUACUGCCUCAUUCAUAUAAACCAUCUUAAAGUUCUUGUUGAGAAAUAUCUUGGUUUCGUGCAAUAAACCAAGAUCACUACUUGUAAGUAAAAUAUUCGUUGAAUCUCAAAUUUUGAUGAUGAAACUAAUUAAUAAGUGUUUAUGAUUUGAUUUGCGUUUUGAGUGAUACAGGAUGCUUCAAUCUAGGAGAGACAAUUAAAGUGGAAGAAUCAUGUUGGGCCGGUGGAACAUGUCAAAAGAUUGGACGUCAAGCCUGAAGAUCGGUCGACGUAUCGACAUAAGGCUUCAGGCCAAGAAGAGCGGAUAUUGCCCCAAAGAUAUCGGAGUUGCGGAGGUCAACUGGUCGAUUGGGCAAUGAACCCACAAGAGAGGACGAUGCGUCGAAGAAUCGGACGAAGCGUCGAUAGACUAAUGACAUGUCGGACAACAUGAUUCAUGCUUAGUAAUAAUUAUCUAGAUCGAAGUGUGUUUUAUGUGUGUAGGAUUAACUACGAUAGCAAGGCAUAAAGCAAAAUGAAGUCCCGGAGUCAAGAACGUGAUUUCGUUGGGAGUUCGAGAGUUCGUCAGAAGUCCGAACGUUCGUCAGAAAUUCUACCGGAACCAACCAAGAAGUCCAGGAGCUUGCCAGAGAAGCUCAUCGAAAUUAGCCAAGAAUAUCAUCGUGAAGUCUAGGAGCUUGCCGGGAGUCCGUUGGAACAUGCCGAGAGAUCGUCGGAAGUUCGCCGGAAGAAACCUUGACUUAUCGGACUUAUUUAGCUUAGUGUAUGCUUUAGAAUUCGUAGUUAGCAUAUAAUUGGGAUUGGAAUUUGGCCAACCCAAUUAUGGGCUAGUUGGGCCCAUGUAAGGACUGUGUUGAGCCUAAUAAAAGGCUCAAACAAUGACCCAAGAGGUGGCACUGUCGUGACAUAGUCUUCGAGACUAUGUCAGGCGAUGGUAUCGCCGGUCUGGGCGAUGGUACCGCCCAGACAAAGUCUCUAAGAGACUAUCAAGCAGUGGUACCGCCAGUCUAGGCGGUGGUACCACCCAGCACAAGCUGUGGUAUCGCCCGUACCUAGGAAACCCGCGAUGAGAUAUUUUUAGGCUCCAAGUUUGAAUCAACUUGAGGCCUAUAAAUACACCUCUUAUCCCUGGUUAACAUACACAAGCACAAAUAAUUUAAAAGUGAGAAAACGCUAUUGCAAUCUCUUGAGAAAUUCUCUCCUCUACUCUAAGUCUAGAAUUCUGUUUAAGUGAGGAGUGAGUGCUUGUAAAGGUUAUCUCCUAAACCUGUGAAAAAAAGAAGAGAGGUGUAAAAUGGUAGUUGAUCUUCGCCCAUUGAAAGAAGAUCGAUAGUAGAUGCCGAUGGUCUCGACGGAAGAAGAAUCGAUAGAGUGGAUGUAGGUCAUGAUGAGUGAACCACUAUAAAAAUAUGGUUUGCUGUUCUUUUGUAUAAUUUAUCUUACUGCAAACCUCCUUACUUACUGUUAUACUCUUCCGUACACUCUCAAGUUAUCCUUGGAAGAAUCGGUUUUAAUCGAACGAAUAUUUUCAAACUGACGUAAUUUUACCGUUGCACUAAUUCACCCCCCCCUCUUAGUGCCGACUCAUUCCUAACAAUAUCAUCAACAUAUAAGACCAGUAUAUGCACUGAUCAACAGUGUUUUCAAUAAAUCUAAAGGAAGUAAUGGUAUUACGAAACUUUAUAUACUAUUAUCUAGAAACUUAUUUAAGGCAAUAAAUAGAUUUCUUAAGUUUACAAGCCCAACUUUCUUUUUCCUUUUCGAUGAAUCAUUUAGGUUAUUCCAUAUAGAUUUUCUCAGCCAAAUCCCCAUUCAAAAAUGUUGUUUUCACAUCCAUCUGAUAUAACUCGAAAUCAUAAUGAGCUACUAAUGCCAUGACGAUUCUCAACGAGUUCCUUUUAGAAACUAGAGAAAAAGUCUCGUUAUAGUUGAUGUCUUUUUUCUAAGAAAAACCUUUGGCCACAACUCUUUUAUAAUUAUCGAGCAAUUCAAUGAGUUCCCAAACAUCAUUCUGGAUUAUUGAUUUUAACUCUUCUUGUAUUGCAUCGUACCAUUUUUCAGAAUUGUUACUUUUUAUGGCUUAUGAAAGCAAAAAAAGGGGUCUCUUUUUAUUCAUAUAUCAUAAUAUGAUUCUUGUAGAUAUACCACAUAAUCAUCAGAAAUUACAUGUUUCCUUUUUCUUUGAGAUCUUCUCAAAGUUAUCGAUUGUGAUUGUUCUACAAGUUCAUCAGUGGUGACAUCAACAUCAUGCGAGAGUUUUCAUUAAUUUGAGAAACAACAAUCACUCAAAUAGGAGAUUAUAUGAGAGAAUUAAUCUGAAUCUUCUCAAUAUCAAAAUUGAUCAUUCUAUAUUUAGAUCCAAGAUUGAUGGUUAGAGAGAAGAGUUAGAGAGUGACUUUGAUCCCUCAAUUAUAAUUUCUUUCUUUCUUGUUUAGUCCCUAGAGAUCUUGUCUAUUUAUAAGUAAGAAUAGAGGAUCUAGAAUAAAUAAUUAGGAGACUUCCUUCCAUCAAUAUUAUCUCAUAACGAAUCAUAUUUUACACGUACUUCUUUUCUAUUGACUAAUAUAUUAUAUCAGAAUCUAAUUAGUUAUAUUAUAUAUUUUUUAUCUAAUUAUAAAGGAUAAUCUAAAUAUAAAGGGUCGUAAAUAGAAUCCUCGGUCAAAAGUGUGCAAGAACUGCAUGCGUAUGUAACAAGAAAGCAAAGACAGAUGGUCUUCAAAGAGAUUUGCGAACUAAGAUACUGUUCUUGGAAGGACAUGGCCAAUUAAUGGCCCUCCUCAGAUUGGGUUCCACAUUGGCUCUACUCCAAAGCCUUGUUUGACCUGCCGUUCAUUAUGAUAGAAAUAAUAGAAGAUAAGAACAAUAAUGGAAGAAGCUUUAUUGUAGAAAUGAAAUAGCUUUAGCUUAAAUACAUUAACAUGUUCCUCUCCUAUUUAUAGGAUUAGGAGGGAGGAUUUUCCUCAACAGAAUAGAUAAGAUUUCCUCAUAUAGUGAGGAAAUCUUAUCUUCUAUCAUGCCCCCGUAAGAUGGUGCUCCUGACAAGGAUACCAAUCUUGGAACGAUGCAAGGAAUGAUUUACAAGCAAGAGGCUUCAUGAGUAGGGCAAGAGUUGAUCGCUACUGUUGCUGCGAUUGCUGUUGCUGUGAGGGCACAGGCGUUCCUUUCGUUCUCCUUAAGUCCGCCCUUCGUUCUCCUUAAGUCCACCGACUGUAGAAGAUGAGGAUUGGCCGUGAAACCUCUUAGGAAUGUGCCUGUAGCGACGUUGGUAGCUGGCCGAAGGCAAGGGCGAAGCUUCGCUUUUCUCACUGCUCUGAUACCAUGAUAGAAAUAAUAGAAGAUAAGAACAAUAAUGAAAGAAGCUUUAUUGCAGAAAUGAAAUAGCUUUAGUUCCUCUCCUAUUUAUAGGAUUAGGAGGGAGGAUUUUCCUCAACAGAAUAGAUAAGAUUUCCUCGUAUAGGGGAAAUCUUAUCUUCUAUCACAUUGCACGUAAUCUUCCUGGCUAUUACUUUGCUGCUUCAAUAAUUCGUAAAAAAGAUAAUUGGAAAUUAGAUGGAAGAGAUGUGAAUUCAUAUGUAAUUUUAGGCUAUAUAAAGGCCACGAAAUAAGCCCAUUCUCUGUCUUUACCCAUCGCCUCAGCCUCGGUGGGAUCCCUCCCGUGGCGGCUACCUUUCUCGCAAGCACCGGAAUGGUAGGUUGGGCUGCUCCCUCUGCCUGCAGUCUGUGGAGUAAACCUCGAUACGAAUCGUCGAUGCGACUUGGUGCAUCGGAAGAUAGAUUUCCGAAACGUGGAGUAAAUCUUGAUUUCGUGAUGGCAAAGGAGAUGAGCCACAUCCAAACCGUGAGAUCGUCACUGCAAAAUGCCAAAGGAACCAUGCAAUGGAUCGCCAAGGACGUCGUAGUACAACAGACAGUGAUCGUACACCCUAAAAACAAUGGCUCAUCACAGCGCCCAACGAUCAACGAUGCGAAAUGUCAAGAACACCAUGCGAUCACCGACGACAAUGAAAAGAAUCUGUGCAGAAUGGUGAUCUUUAUAUCACUUGGCUAAGGAACCUCUCGUAGCGAUAACUGAUAACAAUGUUAAAUCAGUGCAGUUUUGUCGUCCGAUGGUGCCUGUUUAUGCGAGAGAGAUCUGUGCGGUCAAUGAUGGAAGAAGAAGGAUUCCCAAACCAGACGAGUUGUUCUCGAUGCCUCCUACAUCGGAACAGAAACAGAGUUUGAGAUUAACAUUUCAUAAUCUUCAAAACGAGAUCCUUUUUGACAGAUGAAAUGGAUCACACUUAUAACACGAAAGAAACUUGCAUCACAUUCGAUCAGCUGCGUCAUGGCAAUUUCGCAUUCUUAUCUUGAUUGCCACAUAAGCUCUGUCGUACAUCUUGUCCACCGUUGCAAAAUAGAAGAGCCUCCAAUCUUUCUUGAACAGCAUGAUCACGAACACGCUCCAUAAGCCGACCAAAUAUCCGAGCCCGGUACUAAAGUAAAAUGACAGCACACGAGAUCCUUGUUCGUACUCCUCCUCCGUCGAAUCGACGUUGGGAUCGUCGGAGCAACUCUUGGUCACCGGAGGUCCACAGAGAUGGACAUUUCCGAUAUAAAUGGAUGCAUCCUCCAGCGUCCGAAGUUGAUUCCCCGAUGGAAUCGCUCCCGAUAGAUUGUUGUAAGACAGAUUCAAGUGGUUCAGAGAAUUCAGCGCAGAAAAGCUUUGAGGAAUGCCUCCGGAUAACUUAUUGAAUGACAGAUCCAGAGUUUCCAAUGAUUUCAUGGCACCAAUUGCCGCCGGAAUUUGGCCGACAAAAUUGUUUCUCGAUAGAUUUAAAGUUUGGAGCAUUGAAAGAGACCCAAUUUCAAUUGGGAUUUCUCCUGUCAAAUUAUUAUUUGAAAGAUCUAUAAUGUUGACAAGGUAAAGAAUGAUUGAAAAAUUAUAAUAUCUUCCCUUUAUAGUUAGAGCGAUGCUAUCUUCAUAGUUGUCAAAAGGCCACAAAGCAGGGCGGUCCUUUACAAAGGGACUAUAAAAUACUUGUUUGUCUCGACGAGUCAAAUGCUGUUUCCAAUGAGUCAUUGCAGCAUUUAAAUUGCCAAAGGAGUGUGGAAUUGGCCCUGAUAAUUUAUUAUUAGCAAGGUCGAUAACAUGUAGAUAAGCAAGUUGCCCAAGCUCUGCAGGAAUGUUACCGGAAAACAUAUUUGAGCGUAGUCGGAGUACCUCUAGGUCUAGAAAAUUUUGUGCAAUCCAUGUAGGUAUGCUACCCGAGAAUUUAUUAUUGCCAAGAUCAAGAAAAACUAGUGCACUGCAAUUUUUCAAUGAUGAUGGAAGAAGCCCAUGUAGUUUAUUAUUGUUUAAGUGGAAAGACUCGAGCCAAAUCAAAUUUUCAAUAGAGCUGGGAAUUUCUCCCGAAAGCUUAUUAUUUGCCAGAUUAAUGGAGGAAAAGUAGUUUGUCUCCUGCCAACACGAAGGGAUUUCACCUGAUAUUUGGUUGCUCGAUAGAUCGAGAAUAUCAAGUCGAUGACAGUUGCAGAUAAAGGACGGUAUGCUCCCGUUAAUAUGGUUACGUGAGAGAUCCAAGAUUCUAAAUUCUAGUGUGGGAAAGAUCGAUGGCAAUGAUCCUGAUAAAGAAUUACAAGCCAGAUUCAAAUAACGCAAGUAAGAUAGCAAAACCAAGGAAGUUGGCAAAGUGCCGUUAAUUUGAUUUUGGGAGAGAUUUAUAAAAGAAGCAGAGUUAUUCCAAAACCAAUCAGGCAAGACGUCCUCGAUGCUUGUGUUCGACAUAUCCAAAUAUCUAAUGGAGUUUUGUGAACGGAGCCAUCUUGGAAACGCAGGACCCAACUUACAAGAACUCAGUUUAAUGGAUCGGAGUUGAAAAGGAGGAACCCAAUUGUGGUCUAUUGAGAUGACUAGGGAGUUUUCGAAUAGAUCGAGCUCACUUAGUUUGGUUAAGUUAGCGAAAUGGAGUUCAGACAUGGUGCCCUCUAGGGAAUUACUAGAGAGAGAAAGAAUAGUGAGGUUGGAAAGCUUGCCGAUCUCAAUGGGUACGGGACCUGAAAGUGAAUUAUCGUUAAGAUAAAGCUCUCCUAGACCGGUCAAAUUCCCAAUCCCAACAGGUAUGGGUCCAAAGAGUGAAUUAUCAUUAAGAUAAAGCACUCCUAGACUAGUCAACUUCCCAAUCCCAGCAGGUAUGACUCCGAAGAGUGAAUUAUGAUCAAGAUAAAGCUCUCUUAGACUAGUCAAAUUCCCAAUCUCAGCAGGUAUGGGUCCAAAGAGUGAAUUAUAACUUAGAUAGAUAAGUUUUAGACUAUUACAAAUUCCAAUCUCAGUGGGUAUGGGACCUGAAAGUGAAUUAUCACUCAGAUGAAGUUCUCUUAGAUCGGCCAAAUUUCCAAUCCCAGCGGGCAUGGCACCAUGAAACAUAGAAGAACUGAGAUCAAGAUAGGAGAGGUUGUGGAGUUUCCAUAGCCAGUUGGGGAUGGUGGAGUUGAAGAGGUUGUCACUGAUGUCCAGAGUGGCCAGUGCUGUGAGGUUGACAUGGGAAAGAGAAGAGGGGAGGUCGGUGAGGCCACAGUCAUGUAAAUGUAGCUCCUCCAGUGAGGACAACAUGUUCACCGCUUGAAGCCAAUUGUGGGAGGCCAUGGAAAGUUUCACACCGCUCAUGUCGAGGUAUCUCAAGGAAGUGAGACGCGAGAGCCAGUGCAGGCCAUCGAUCGUUAAGUCAUAUAGUGAAUUUAGGUUGAGAGAGCGGAGGGUGGACAGGUUGCCCAGCUGGGGCGGAAUGGCUCCGCUGAAGUUGGACCAGGAGAGGUCGAGAUACGUCAACUCGGUAAGGGAACCCAAAAAUUUCGGGAUUUGGAUCCCACCGAAGUCAUUGUGGCUGAGGUUGAGACGCUCCAAAUGAGUUAGCAGGAGCAAGGAUGGUCUGAUCUCACCUCCGAUAGACGUCUCAUUGUUUAGAUAGUCUGGAUUGAGGUUAAGCUCCACGACAUGGCCGGUUCUGUUGUCACAGACCACCCCGCUCCAUCUGCAGCAGUCUACUCGACCUCGCCACGAUGACAAGCGGCUGGAAGGACCCCCGAGGAGACCGGUUUUGAAGUCGAGGAGGGCGUCCCUCUCGCCCUCUACGCACCCCUUCGUCGUCGGCGUUGUUGCCGCCGUGAACAAAAGAAAGCUCGUAAGCCAAAGCCCGAAAGAGUAGUGCCGAGGCACAGGGUGUGUGCUUCUGGUGCAAGAGGCCAUGAUGCUAUUUGGUGAGUGCAUAGUGUACUGAGAGAUGGUCGGCGGUGGAGGACAUGUAUAUAUAGAGUGGGUGUUGGGGCGUGAUGGCCCUCCCAUCCCCAACCCAUCGUAGACUCCUGUGAAACGUGAAGAUUGAUGCACUGGUAGCGAUGGAUAGAUAAAAAGACUUUUGACUUUUGUGGGAUACGACUCCUGCUGGACCUGCAGUCCGUGCACCGUGUAGCUUCCUCGAACUUGGUUUCUACCCUGCCUGGGUCCCAAAAUCGGGGCUCGGUUCGCAAGAACGAAAGAGAUUGAUGCUGGAUUUCAAACUUGAAAGAUACGGCCAUUUAUUCCAGGCGUCGAAAUGUAUGGAGGCGAAGAAUACCUCAUUCCAGGGUUCGAAAUGUUCGCCACCACAUGUCAAACGUCAUCACGGAAGACAAAAGUGUGGAUGAAGACUCCGACCCACCGCAAACGAUUCCUCACCCAAGAUAACACGGUAAGCCAUCGCUCUACAUGUAGCGUCCUUCCGAAGGAGGGAGGAGACUCGACGAGGUUUGUAGCGGAACGCACGCUUCGCUUUCACAUGUGUGGAAGUCUUUGUUGGGAACCCAAAGGCACGCAACAAAUUGAUUCGUUUGAUACACAAGUGAUGAAGAUGAUGAGGAUUUUGUGGGUAAUUGUUCCCACAGUAGCGAAACAAAUGGCUGCAUUUCUUUUCAUCUCUUUCGUUUUCUACAAAAUUCCACUUUUUUGUAUUCCCUUCAAAAUUAAUGAUUUCGUACUUAUUUAAAUUUAACUUGAUUAUGCAACUCUUAUUACCUAAUCACCAAUAAAGAUAUAGAUUUACAACGCAAAUGGAUGGAUCCCAAGUUGAUUCCCAUAUGCUUUUGUUCCCGAGAGAUCAUCCUGGCUAACACCCAAAUGGACGGAUGGGAUGCACUGAGCUACCUUUGACUCCCUGGGUGACUCCGUGAGUUUUCGAAAUCAUCACACAACCAUCUAAUCGACAAACCAUUCCUGCAGCCAAUCAUUAAAAAAACAUUAUUAGCCGUAUAAUAUUUGUACUAUUUCUAAGCAUCAAAUGAACAAGUAUACAAAAUAAAAGCUUGAGAUUAUCCGUCACAUAACCUUUAAAAUGUGAAGUAGGGAUAUUCGAAUGCAUUGACCUUUAAUCCAUCGCCAACCUAGCGAUCCGUAUCUUGAAUGCUACGUAAAUCUUGUCGCACAAGUUAUCCAUCACUCGGAAGUAGAAGAUCCUCCAAUCUUUCUUGAAAAGAAUAAUGAUAAAUACGCUCCAUAAUCCGACCAAAUAUCCGAGUGCAAUGCUGAAAGUAAAUGAUAGCACAUCAGAUUCUGUUUUGUUUUCUUCUUCUUCGAAAUCGACAUUAGUCUCGUUGACGCAACUCUCGGUGACCGGAGGUCCACAGAGAUACGCAUUGCCGAUGUAAAUGGAUGCAUCAUCGAGCGUCCGAAGUUGAUUCCCUGAUGGAAUGACUCCUGAUAGGUUGUUGUACGACAAAUUCAAGUGGCUCAGAGAAUCUAGCGCUGAAAAGCUUUCGGGAAUGACGCCAGAUAACUCAUUGAACGACAGAUCCAAUGUUUCCAAUGACUUCAUCCGACCAACCGCUGCAGGAAUCGUGCCGCCAAAACUAUUUCUGGAUAAAUUUAAGGUUUGCAGUGCAAAAAGAGAACCAAUUUCCGUAGGAAUCACUCCGGAUAGCUCGUUAUCUGAAAGGUCGAUGCUUUUCACGAGAUUGAGAAUGGUCGAGAAACUGAACUCAUCUCCCUUCGUGACCAGAGAUAUGCUUUCGCUGGCCACAAAAGAGGAUAGCACAAACUCUACAUUGUUUGAUAUCGUAGAGGACAUCGACUUGGAGAUAGAGAUCAUCGCACUGAAAUUGCCAAACGAGUGCGGCACUGACCCCGACAGUCUGUUAUUGGAGAGGUCGAUGAUCUGAAGAUCUCUCAGCUGCCCGAGUUGCAUAGGAAUAUUGCCUGAUAACAUAUUCGAGCGCAGUCGAAGCACCUCCAGAUUUUGCAAGCUCUGUCCGAUCCAUGUCGGUAUGUUCCCGGAAAAUUUGUUGUCGCCGAGAUCAAUAAUAGCUAACCGAUUGCAAUAUCGCAACGACGGCGGAAUACGUCCGGAGAGACUGUUGUUGUUUAAGUGCAAGAACUCAAGGUUGCUCAAGUUUCCGAUGGAGUCAGGAAUUUUCCCCCACAGCCUAUUAUUCGACAGAUUAACGAAGAAUAGUUUCGUUGCCUCCUGCCAACACUGAGGGAUUUCUCCGGAUAUCUGGUUGUUCGAUAGAUCGAGAGCAUAGAGUUGCUGCAAGUCGCAGAUGUCGGAUGGUAUGCUUCCCCGAAAAUAAUUGCGGGAGAGGAAUAAGUAUGCCAAGAACGGUGACAGGGUCCAUGGAAGCGAACCGGACAAAGAAUUGUUCGAUAGGUCUAGUGCUUGUAGGUUCGAUGGCAAAGCAGGAAUGUGACCUCGAAGCGUAUUGGAGCUCAAAUUUAAGAACAUCAAGCAGGACAUGCUCUCCAAGGACGCUGGCAGAGUGCCACUGAUUUGAUUGUGGGAGAGGUUGAUAUCCAUGAUGCUGGAAGAAGAAGAAUUCUUCCAGAACCAAAGGGGCACCGCGUCUUGGAUACUCGUGUUGGACAUAUCCAAAUCCAUGAUGGAUUUCUGGGAACGAAGCCACGUGGGAAACGUAGGGCCCAAUUUAAUGGCGUCCAAUUUAACGGUCUGGAGUUGAAACGGCGGGACCCAGUUGUGGUGGAAUUGCAUGGCCAAGGGGUUGUCGUACAGGCACAGGACGAUUAGUUUUGUGAUGUUAGCGAAAUGGCGUUCGGACACAGUUCCCUCCAAAUAGCUACUGGAGAGAUCGAGGGUGAUUAGGUUGGAAAGCUUGCUAAUCUCUGGUGGUAUAAGUCCGGAGAGCAGAUUAUGACUCAGGUCGAGAUUGGUUAGAUUAGACAGAUUCCCGAUCUCGAUGGGUAUUUGACCCGUCAGUGAAUUACCACUGAGGCUUAGAUCCGUGAGACUAGUCAGGUACCCGAUCUCGGUAGGGAUGGAGCCAAUAAGCGAACAGUGAACGAGGGUUAGCUGUGACAAACGAGUCAUGUUCCCGAUCUGUGGUAGAAGACGACUCGUAAACAAAUUAUGGCUGAGGUCGAGGAGGGUCAGACUGGUCAAACUCCAUAUAUCGGCGGGUAUGGAACCGGCAAGCGAGUUGCCGGUAAGGUCGAGCCGUGUGAGACGAGUCAAGUUUCCAAACCCAGUCGGUAUGGUGCCAUGCAAUUCAGAGUUGCUGAUCGCGAGAUUGGAGAGGCGGGGGAGUUCAAAAAGCCAGUUGGGGAAGGUGGAGUUGAACGAGUUAUCACGGAGCUCCAGAUCGGCGAGGGCCGUGAGGUUGACAUGGGAAAGAGAGGUGGGGAGGGUGGUGAGGCCACAACCGGAUGACAAAUAGAGUUGUUGGAGGGAAGGCAGCCGGUUCACUGCAUGUAUCCAGUUGUGGGAGGCGGUGCUGAGGUUCACGCCGCUCAUGUCGAGGUAUCUCAGGGAAGAGAGACGCGAGAGCCAGUCUAGGCCGUCGGUGGUUAAGUCGUAUGAACGCAGAUCCAGAUAGCGGAGGCUCGACAGGUUGCCCAGCUGGGGCGGAAUGGCUCCGCUGAAGUUGGAC